UUCUGCCUCAAUAAUUUGUUCCAAACUCUGCGGUACUGUUUAGAUGUGUGUCAUGCAAUAUCCACUCCUCGCCGCCUGGUGUGAAUAUGUUUUUCCUGAAUACGAUAGUAACUACGACGAGUACAACCCCGUGAAGCAUUAGACAUUUCGAGCUUUCAGCCCUGAGGUGUUUUCAGAUCACCGCAACUCACGGGACAUUUGAGUGGCUUUCAACCGGUCGGUGGGCUCAUCUAAGCUUUUGGACACUAAUGAAAGCUAAUUAUGAAAAGAAGAAAGAGGAGGAUGAAACAAGGAGAGCCACAGGAGGAAUUGCACAAACGUCAAGCCACAAAAGAAAGAUAGAGAAGUGAACAAGAACGGAAAGUGUUAGAGAAAAAGAUUGAAGAAUAG